AUUGAACGCUGGCGACAUGCCUUACACAUGCAAGUCGAACGGCAGCACGGGUGCUUGCACCUGGUGGCGAGUGGCGAACGGGUGAGUAAUACAUCGGAACAUGUCCUGUAGUGGGGGAUAGCCCGGCGAAAGCCGGAUUAAUACCGCAUACGAUCUACGGAUGAAAGCGGGGGACCUUCGGGCCUCGCGCUAUAGGGUUGGCCGAUGGCUGAUUAGCUAGUUGGUGGGGUAAAGGCCUACCAAGGCGACGAUCAGUAGCUGGUCUGAGAGGACGACCAGCCACACUGGGACUGAGACACGGCCCAGACUCCUACGGGAGGCAGCAGUGGGGAAUUUUGGACAAUGGGCGAAUGCCUGAUCCAGCAAUGCCGCGUGUGUGAAGAAGGCCUUCGGGUUGUAAAGCACUUUUGUCCGGAAAGAAAUCCUUGGCCCUAAUACGGUCGGGGGAUGACGGUACCGGAAGAAUAAGCACCGGCUAACUACGUG
rnacentral:rRNA from 1 species